rnacentral:rRNA from 1 species
UACGUAGGGUGCGAGCGUUGUCCGGAUUUAUUGGGCGUAAAGAGCUCGUAGGCGGUUCCGUAAGUCGUGAAGUCAAAUCUCUGGGCUCAACCCAGAAUCGCUUCCGAUACUGCGGUGACUGGAGUCCGGUAGGGGAGUGUGGAAUUCCUGGUGUAGCGGUGAAAUGCGCAGAUAUCAGGAGGAACACCAACAGCGAAGGCAGCACUCUGGGCCGGUACUGACGCUGAGGAGCGAAAGCGUGGGGAGCGAACAGG